GCGGUAUCAUCUGCAAACUUGUAGCUGGAGUUAGAGCAGAAUCUGGCCACGCAGUCAUGAAUAUGAAUAAGCUACCGCAGAAUUAACCUGCUUUGAUACAAACAGAGAAGCUCAGUUGUCAAAUCAUGAAUUGGAGAAAAUUGGCUUGGAGGACUCGAAUAAAAUGCAGGAACUACACAUCAGGGAGCAUCGAGAUCAUAUAAUCUGCAUGAUCAGAGGAGCCAGUGGAAGGGCAAAACAAAUAUUGACAGCCCCAAUCCAAAGGAACAACAACAGUGAAACCAAUCAGAUAUGUCUGAAAAUUGUUCAAAACUCA